UUCGAAUGAGGCUGCAACGAUGACAAAUUGAUUUCGGGUGAUUUUGGCUGUUUCCAACGAUGGAGGAGGAAAAGGGGACCGACGACGGGAUGAGUUGGGAAUGUUUUCCAGCGAAGGAAGGACGGUUCCGGUGAGUUUGACCGGAGUUGGUAUUCACCAGUGAUGGUGGUCGACGAAAAGGGGAAAAAGAAAGAGAGAAAUACGGCACACAGAUUUGACAUUUGGUCGAAUCUGAU
rnacentral:lncRNA from 1 species